UUGGCAACGGAUGUUAGCUCAGGGAAAAAUCUUCCUCGAAAAAAAAAACACCACAUUUAUACAUAACUGAAGUUUCUACUUUGCUCUUUCAUCUCUAAUAUCCAAGUUAUGGGCAUAAUCUUAACACAGACUUAAUAACAGCCAUCUAAAUUACAGCUAAUACUGAAAUCUCUCAGUAGGUAUUUGCAGAAUUUCUCUUCAAAUUUUAUUUUAAAUAAGAACUGUUCUUUAAUAGUCAGUAGUGUUUUUUUUUUUUUCCUGAUUCUUUUUCUCCUUUGAGGCCUUCUGAGGAUAAUUACAAAGGAGUAAGGGAAGAAUCGAGUAGAAAGAGCUACAGACAAACAUCCCAAAGUCUUUUCCUGUUGCUGUCACUGAUGGGUUAACUGACUGGGACCAAGACCGUGACCUUCCAUUAGAUUCAGUUUCCUAGUCUUUCUUUUGUGAAUUUUAGCUGUACACUUUUCCUGUCUUUAUCAAUGAGUUCUCAGGAAAAUUAAACUGAAUAAGAUGUGACAGAAGUUAAAAAGAAGUAAUAAAAAACACAAGAUAAUACUGUGGCAAGGAACAGUUUAUUUAUUAAUAUUAUUUUCUACUGAUUUAUUUAAUUUGUUCGAGAAAUCCAGGACAGUUCCUUGAAUACAAGUGUUUCUCCUAGAAAUUUUUUGAAAAGAAUUAAACUGACCCUAGAGGAGCAAGCAUUUAUAUGUAAUGAUACAUUGACGUUUUUAGAUGCCAUAGGAUGCUAAAUUAAUAAAUCAGUACCUUGCUUUAUCCUGCUGAAGUUCCUGCUAAUGUUUCAUUUCUUUAUUAAUUCUGGUAAAUGUAUGUUGCAGUGAUUUAUAGUAUGGUUAGGCCAGACAAUUUUUUGGAGAAAAGUCAGUUUUCUGGAGGGUGUACUCAUCCUUUCCCUGACUUACUGCUACCCAAAAUAUGAUGUGCUGGCAACAAGGAUACUAUGCACUUAUAAAGGAAACCAGACCAUAGUGAGAAAUUCCACUCUCAACGUUGAGCAUGGCAUCUCUCCUGCCGACUGAACAGAUCUCAGCAAAACUGAGCAAACAUGAAGGGUUUACCCUGGAGCUCAUACAGAGUUGGGCACCCGUGAAUCUGCUUUCAAUUUGUCAAGGGCUGUUACCACAUAUGGGUCAUGAAACAACACAGGGUGAAGUCGGGGAGCAUCUUCCCAAACCUCAUAUAAUACCGAUAAUCAGAUAUUCAAGUGAAAAGGCAGAGAAACGUGAGAAUCACAGAUCUUAUCAACUUAUCCCAGCACAUGACCACCGCUGUCAUCCUCUUCACACAGUCACCAUCAGCCAUCUGCAACUGGGAUACAUUCCUAGGGGCAAAAAAGACCUCAAGCCUUAUUGAGUUUCACAGGUUACUCCAGAGAUAUGAUUCAUCAAGGGAUAAUCAUUCUGAGCACUAUCUUUUUCUACUAAAAAGCAUCACUCUAUUUGGUCAGCUUUGAUGGCCCAAAGAAGCUUGCUGGAAUAUCAGGUUCCAAGUAUUAACACACCGCAGUGCUCUCAAACCACUGUUUUUAUCUUAUGGUGUUGGUACUUGGCACAGACACAAAAUAACAGAUGGCACAGAGAUAUCAGUGGUUUUCCAUUCAGGAACAGUGUUAUAUACAAAACUCAAUUAUGCACAAAUGGAUACAGAAGCCUUUUGUACAAGAAGUUUUACCAACUACCUCUCCAUCUGUGCUUUUAUUAGUGGUACCAACAAAGCCUCUUCAGGGAUUCUUUCUGAGGUUAAGCUACUCCCUUUAAUGAUAAAGACUGGAGUGCUUUGCUCAACACUCACGACCACAAAAAAUGGAAGAACAAUGUUGAAGGCUGACAACCUGAGCACCUGCCAACACCGAUCACGGGAUAUCCCAACCACCUUCCCUGAAAAUACUGAUGUAAGAUUUUCCUUCUGAUUCUCAUCUAUGGGCUGAUUACAUUUAUAGUUAACAUUGCUGGAUACUAGAUAGUCUUAAAUAGGUUAUUGAGGAAAUUUCCAAAACAGAAACAUCUUAAGUAAAGGUUCAACAGAAAUCACCUAGCCCAGAGACACGACUAGGUGUUUAGCACGCUGUUUUAGUUUUCUUACCAUCACACUGGCAAAUUGUUUGUCCCAAAGCAUCAGUAGGAAGCUCCGUCUGAUUGCUGAGGACUGACGUAAUUAUUGAAGUCAGUAGAACCAAGUAACUUAUUCUACACUUCUUAGCAUAACUUGUCAAGAGUGUCUGAUUUUCUAUCAGAAACUACUCAGAAGCCUUGGUUAAGAACGCUUAUUGAUUUUCAGGACCAUUUUGGAAGAAGGACUUUAUGACUUUUAAAGGCAACUUCUCAUGUUUACUCAAAGCGGCCACAGUUUGAUUUCAAGCCAUUAGAGUGAUGCUCACAACGCUGUCCCAGUUUAUCUGUCUAUCUACCUACCUACUUACCUGCAGUAGUUCAUGAUCAUGAAAUACUCAGAUAGCUGACAUAGAAUCUGUGUUUACCUCAAUUUAUUUUAAGAUAUUUAUCCACAGAAAGCUUAUCUGAACUAUCAUUCUCAAAUGACCAUUCUCUCAAGUAAAUGGUUAAAGUACUAACAUGCUCAAGGUCAGUUUUAUGAAAAGUCUGGCCAAACAAACAGUGAUGGAUUUCUCAUUGCUAAUCCACUAGUCCAUAUGAUGAGUCAGUCCCUUUAUUACUAUUGGGGCUAUGUCACAAAAGUGUCAUCCGCCCUGCCAAGAAGUAGCUGAGAAUUUGACAUAAAAAUGUCUAAGGUAAAAAAUGUCAUUAUCCACUAUGUAGCUAUGAUAUCCACAAGGCUCAUGCUUUGUCAGGAACUAUGGGGGGGGGGGGGUGGUUAAGAAACUCUCUCCUCUAUGCAGAUGAGCAUAAGGCCUCUGUCCCAAGAGUUCUAGAGCACAGGUGCAGCGGCAUGACACUUGCCAUAUUGAAAAAUGGAGAAGGAAUUCCCUUGAUGAUCUGAAAACAGAAAAUCAUUUUAAGGAGCAGCACUAGUGUGUGUGAAAGUUUUGUUUAACUAAUCUCCUAAGUAUGCAUAAGACUCAUAGAAACGUUAGAACAAUACCUCUUUGACAAUCAAGGGAAAUGGAUGCUAGCGACAUUAGCUAAAUUCCUAGUACAUACUAGGUAUUUAACCUGGAUGGAGUGAAGUCAAAAUACAGUAAUAUAACACCGUUAAGGCCUCACAAAGGAUAGACUCCUUACUGAUAAAUCUUCAUGUCUUAUAAGGUCAGGGAAAUAUGUACGGGGAAGGAUGUUGGGAAAGAAUGGUGUGUGUGUAUGUGUUAUAAUUUACUCUAGAAGGAUGCUACAGUUAUUUAGGGCAGAGAUUAUAGUAUGAAAUGGUGAAAGGAAAGAUGAAUAAUAAUACUGAAAUUAAUAUCACUAACAUAAUGUUAUGUUAUAUAUUAUAAUAAAAUAGCAAUAGAGAGUGGAGAACAUCAUUGAGAAGGAACAAAGUAGAAACCAGAGUAGACAGAAUCUGGAAAUUUUUGAUCCUGAUAUUAUGUAGGGGCUGAGGGUAAGUCAUGGAGAUGCAGAUGCAUAAAAGAAGAAGCCUGAGACGAAGGUCUCCACUUUGAAAGCAGAAAUCAGACAGAAUCUGUUCAAUAAACCACCUACUGGAUUUCUUGAAGACUCUCAUAACAUUCCAAUCAACUCUCUGGAAAAAUCUACAAAUACACUUCAUAGCCCUUCAGAGAAAUGGAAAAUACUGUCAACACAGCAUUAUAGCCAACAAAGAGAUAAUUAUUGAGUACAAAACACAGAAGCAAAGAGGUUAUGAUAAGCAGAAAUAAAGACAAAGCAUAUUUGUCCAAAACUAAUUUUGAAAGGAAAAACAGAAUAUUUAAAGGUUUAGAACAAGAAUUAUAACAUUAUUUGGCAUCAAAGGGCUAUCAAGCACUCAAAGGAUGCAAGUUGAGAAUCCCAACACCUCGAAUCAAUAAGCGCACUCGUUUGAACACUCCCAGUCUCUUGUCUGUCAUCUCUUAUUCUAAGCACGUGUUCUCUUUCAUCUCCCUUCCUCUGACCACAAUCGUGAGAAUAGGAAGACAGCGAGGGAGGACAAACCAAAGCGCUCGCUCCCAGGAAGGCAUUUUGCUCUCUCAUGUGGCCACCACACUCUCCCCAUUAACGUAACCCUGCUGUCUGUCUGGCACAUUAAAUUUCCUCAUGCCUGCUCAUCCUACUCUUAUUUCCUAUUGUUCUAUGACUUUUCCUCUCCUUUAUUCGUGUUCUUUUGCUCACAACCCUCACUUCCCAAUCUCUCAGUGAAAUUUACAAUUUCAGCAUGAAGACAAUAGUAGCAUAAGAGGAAGAAGAAAAUGUGGAAGCACAGGUUCAAGUCAGCUUAAAAAGGGUAAUAUAAAUCUUGAAAGUGCCAAGCAAGUUAUUAUUCCACUAUAAAGCACGUAUAUUGGCUUACUGUAGCUCCAAUGAACUUUGCUCCUAAAUGGUAUUUACUAACUCUUUACAAGGAAGGGUACAUUUCCAAUUGUUAUGACAUAUUCCCACUAUUGUCACAGCAAAGACGGCCUUUUAAGAUGGUACUAGUUAGCAAAACCAUAUACUGCUGAUGCUGUGUGUGGUGACAGCAACAUUUCCAUUCUCAAAAGACCCAGUGUAGCAGUGUGACACCACGGUAUGCAUAUUAUGGACAAGAAGAAGCUAAAGAGUGGCAAGAGGACUCGUAGAAAACCAAAUACUAAUGAAGAGAAUGAGCAAGUACUGCCUUCAUAUAUAUGCCAGCAAGGAUGCCAUAUAUAAGCUGGAAAGAGGGAUGGAGGGAGCAGAGCUUUAAGAAAUCUCAGGGAGAUCUGAUCUACCUGUCUCUUCUCAGGGAGACUUGAAAUUCAUGUUCUAUAAUGAUUUUGUCAAUAGGAAUGAGACCCAUUUCAGAACAGUUCCCUUUAGAAGAGUGACUUUCAACUGUUUCUCACCAUGACACUUGGAUAAUACUCUCACGUACAACGCAAUCCCGUACUCUCAGAUUAGGGGCAAGCACUAUGAAACACUCCGAGCUAUAUACAGUUCCUGGACUGCUGGUGGUAUCUCCCCUCCUCAUUUUAAAGAGAGCAUAUCCAAGGCAUAACCUCAAAUUUGCUCUAAUUUCUUUUAAUUCAUAUUUAAAAAGCAAACCUAAGUUACAAAUUUUAGUACAUUAUACUAAUGGGAAAUUACUCAUCACAUGCAUCUGUAAUUCUCUCCCUGGUUCUCACUUUUCUCUGUAUCUGUCCACACAGCUCUUUGAAUUCCAAUGUCAUUACAAACUUCUAUGUCUGUGUCCACAUAGUUUGCCCUAAUUUCACUAGCUGCUCUUAGUGGCUUGUUACAUCUAUAUAUGGGUUAGGAAUACUUCCAGGAAAGCGAGGGGAAGAUGGAACUUGCCUGAAGUAUCAGGACAGGAUAGUAGCUGUGAAAUCAAAGCACACUGUGAGGACAAUAAAGUAGACAGGCCUGGGGAAAGUGAUUUCUUACAGGAGAAAGAACCAAGGGACUACAAGGAGGAAAGCUUAUAUUUUUUAAUCUUGGCAAGUGACAAUACGUGACUAACUUUUUCAACACGGCUAGAAUUACAUAAUGUUAGUGCUAUGAUGAGAGAGACUAAAUAUAAUAUCAGCUUAAAUAGUCUGAUGGCGCUAGCUACUCAAAACACAUCCAGUUAACUCCUGGGUGACUGUGCCGACGGGAGAGGGCAAGAUGCAGAUAAUAUGAAAAAUGAUUGCUUCUUCUUCUAAAACAGCUCCAUUUAGAUUGCGUUUUUUGAGGGCAAGAACUACACACAGGCACUAAUACAUGCUCUCUAAGAUGAGUUGCCUGGGACAGCACCAGGGACAGAGGAGAAAGGUGGCAGAGACCAUAAAGAGCGACUUGUCAAGUGGAUCGUGAAUAUUUCAUAAAAUCACUGAAUUCUCAGAGUUGGAUGAAAUAAUAAAGGUCAGUGGUUUAACAGUCUGCUUAGUGCCGGAAUUCCUGCUAUUAUGUCCUACUAUUCAGUUUAUGAAACUAAAAUUCCAGCUCCAAACUUCAUAUAUAGGACAAAAUAUUCGCCCGGUCACAUCUUAUGUAAGGCAGGCUAUUAUAAAGGGUCAGUCCUUAUAUAAUAUGGUGUAGUUAGAGCUCUCAGAUUCAAAUCCAGACUUUAUCACUGGCUAGACAUAUGACCUUGAAAUAUACGAACUUAAUUUCUCUUAGGCUUCACUUUUUACCUCUGUAAAAUGAAGGUGAUGCAAGUACUUAACUCAUAGAUUUGUUUUGAAAAUUAAAUAACAUAUAUGAAGCACUUAACAUAGUCCUUGUGCCCUGUUUGCUAGCUCCUGUGGAGGUUCUGUAGAGCGCUAGUCCUGAGAGACUCAUUGACUAGAACAUCCACUCCAGGAGAGCAGGCACUUGCUCAGGUUCUAGUCUCCUCUUGGGAAUCCAUGACAUGCUUUGACAAAUAAAACGUGCUGAGAUUUACUACAAACAGGUACAGGACUCAAGAAGAACAAUAAAGUUAAUGGAACUCUGAUUUAUAAUAAACUCUUAAAAUUAAAAGUAAACUUCCAAAUAUCUUAGCUCAUUCAAUACACUGGAACUUUGCCAGACCACUAUCCGUCAUCCCAUAGAGUUCAGUUUAAGCCUUUCUUGGAUCCCAUGCAAUGGCUGAAAUACAAGAAGAGCCUUGUUACAUGUCGGCUUUUCGUCAUGGACUCAGAAAAAUGCAGAACUGUGUGAUUUAAAUAGAAGGAGAAUAAUUGCUUCUAACUCAUCAUUCCAUGACCUGGUGAGGAAAGCUAGUCCUAAAUAUAAUCUUUCUGUUGAAAGAGUAAAACUAACAGUUGCCAUCUGCAGUUGAGGUGGGCCCCGCGAUGAGGAACCUGCUCAUGGUGCCAGUGAUCAGAGAAUUCUCCCACGGCUCAAGUCUCUGCGGAGCACAAGCAAAGAAAGGACAGGGGAAGAGCGCUCCAUAGCAGAUCUAACUUGGAAUUUCAUGUUUGGAGGUGACUGAAGUGAUUAAAAUGUCCACCGUGAAAUUAAACGUCUUUUUAUUCAAAAGACAUAGAUAGAGGAUAAAUUCUACCAAAAUUACCAGAAGAAAUUCAUAGCAAUUUUCUCAUUAGGUAACUAGCUACGGGUUUUAAACUAAAUUUUAAAAAUCCCACAGUUGUUUUCUUCCUCUGAGAGGAUAGUUACUUACAGCUCCAUGUUUGCUAAAGGGAGUGCUACGGAAUAAUUUACUAAUAAUUUAUACACUAUAGCAGCUGGUGGCAAUAAUCUAGCCUUAAUUUUAUUAUAGUUUACAUUUUUAUUACACAUUACAGUAAUGUAGUGGAGUGAUUUUUAUUUGCACAAUGGUUUUCACUCUUGAAGAGAAUAUUCUGUCAUAUCAUUCUGACCAUUUAUUGGUACAUUUCUCACAGCAGCUAGAUAGAGACCUGAAUUCUCCAGCAAUCAUAGACUUAUUUGCACUUUGCCAAAAGCUGCUAUGUAAUGAGCAUAGCUACGUAAAUCGUGUCACUUUUGAUAUGUCAGAGAAAUUAAAUUUUGAGCUCAGCUCUAAGAAUUGAAUUGUGAGACAAAAAUAGCUUCAGAAUUGUCCUGAUGAUUCCCAAGCCACGCGCGAAGUUGAUUAAUGACAGAGCAAUAUGCCCUGACUAACCUAAUCACUUACACAUUUAAUACUGACAAGGGGAAAUGAGUGAUAUGAAAAUAUUUUUAACCAAAUGUCCUGAAAUUAUACACGUCUUUGCCCAGUAACUGAAUUACCCAAUAUUGAGCUUUACUUCCCUCUUUGGUUAUGUAUUGUGGAUACUUACAUACAUAUAAAUAAUUUUUUCUCAUACAGUAGGAAACUAUAUUUCAUCACUUCUGAUGAAAAAGAUGUUAACAGCUUAUUAGGAAAAGAUAAAGAUUUUUUAUUUCCCUAGUGGUGUGAUAAGGUGAUGCAUUCUCUUAAUAAAAUAGCAUUGUUUAUUGAGCAUAUUUUUCAAAUUUUAUCCCAGUUAUCCAUAAACGGAUAUGAAUUAUUCAAAAAACACCUGAAAACUAUUUAUGCUCUCUAUCAACAUUUUAUUUCCAGAAAUUUCCUUCACUGCCUAGUUAGUUUCUCAUCCUAAAGUAGUUGAUACUGAAUAAUCAAUUCCAAAUCCUGUGAAUUUAAAUUACUGUUAAUAAACAGUAUUUAUAAUGAAUUUUACACAACUAUCACUUUUUCCUAGGUUGUCCUUAUAUAGUAUGAUCCAUGUUGACUAUUUCUAUUUAAUUCAUUCAAGCUUUUUAUCUUUCUGCUUUAAGAAGCUAUGUAGUAAAAGUAAAGAAUUUAGCCUUGCCCCGAGAGAGGUCUGGCCUUCACCCUCAGCCCCUAGUGGGUAAUCUAUGUCGUACCUGAUAGAAAUGUUUUUGUUCAGGGUGGAGUUGGCCACGCCAGACAGUCUUGGGUGGUCACACCAGAAAGACCAACCAUGGGAUUUAGGUGGGGGCUUUGGGUCACACACUGUUAGCUGAUGGAGACUGAGUUCAACCAUGUGGGCGAUCAAUCAAUCAAUCAAUCAUUUGAUUGUGGAGCCACAAUAAAACCCCUAAACGCUGAAGUCAGGAUAAGUUUCCCUGGUUGGCAGUACUCCCUGCACAUUGUCACAUAUCGGUGCUGGCAGGGUAAUGCACACUGGUUCCUUGGGGAAGACAGUGGAAGCUUCCCAGUUGGAACCCUCUGUGUCUCUUCCUCUGGCUGAUUUUAAUGUCUCUUUUCCCUGUAACACACUGUGACUGAAAAUACAGUAGCUUUCAGUGAGUUCUUUGAGUCCUUCUAGAAAAUUACUGAAUCUAAGGAUGCUUUUGGAGACCCCUGGAGCCAACCCUUGCAGUUGGUGUCAGAAGUGAGGGCAAUCUGCAGAGAACUGUGUCCUCAAAUUUUGUGGCAUGGCUAGCUCCCAGGCAGAAGUGCUUAGACGACACAUUAACUAAAAGGCGCACACACACAAAACACUCAAAUACGUACCGCAGAAACUCAGUGCAAAGAUGAAAAUUAACAUCAACAGACCAAACUAUAGAUCAACAAACACAUUUCAGUAACUUACUGUCAGUGCCCUGUGUGCUUCCUCUCAUGCCUCUUGCACUAUAAGUGGAUUUUAAGAGUUAAUUCAAGUGUUGGUGCAAAACAAACUUCAAUAUAAGGCAAACAGCCUUAAAUAUAAAAGCCUCUAGAACUGAAAGUAUUAAGGCAUUAAUUUCAUUUCUUGAUGCAAAGGAAAUAGCCAUAUGGUGUAGUGGACAAAUGCAAUUUAAUAUAACUCCCUGUAAUCUUUUCAAUUUUUUUUGUUUAAACACAAAGAGUAGUUCCUUUAAUCAGUUCUCUUAAGACAUUAUUUUUGGACCCUGUCUCAUCACAGGAUUAUUCUUGUGGAUGCAUCCACAUUUGUCAACAUCAAUAUUAAAACAAAGUAUCUGGAAUUCCUAAUGUGUAGGAAUUUGUGUGGUGCAGAGCAAAACGAUAUUUCUGAAAUCUGAUCCGAGUUGAAUGAUGUUUCUUUGAUCAAACAGAGACGGUAGACCAUUAUAUGGUGACGAAUAUCAUUUUAUGAAAAGAAUUUGAGGCAGCAUUAAAACAGAUGAGUUAGAAUUGAAAUUUUAAAGUAAAAUAAAACUAAAAGAUUGUAUAUACUCUGCUUCCACUUAUAUUUUACUGUAUCAUCAUCUACUACAGUGAUUUGGAUCAAAUCAGUGUUCAUUAGAAUUAAUUAGAGAGUUUUUGGUGUUUAAAUCCUAAGUCAAGACAAUCUGGAUUGGCAGACUGGGUAGGACUAUAGGUUUCUACAUUUUAAUAAGCUCCCUAAAUGAUUCUGUUGCAUGUCAAAGCUUAAGAACUACCGAUCAACUAAGUUAAAAGUUUCUUGAGAACUGGAUCUAACAAACUGCUUUGCACUAAGUAAAUGUUGAUUUUAAAUUGAUUGCUUUCUAGGAAUUAAAUUUUUCAACAUUGUACAAUUUAAUUAACUGUAAUUGUUUAAUUUUAGUGAUUUUUAUCAGGUAAUAUAUGUGUUUAUAUUAUUUCCAUGACAAUUACUUUGUUUGACAGUAUCUUUAGCUGAAUUCAUUAUCAGAAAUGAACUCUGGCAAGUUGUUCUGAAUGUCUUAAUAUUUCAUUCGACAUUACUUAAAUCAGAGGUUUUUUCAGUAGAAAAAAUUUAUGUCUUCAAUACAAUUUUAUGAAUGUGAAAAUUUAGUUCUUCAUAUAUUUUAAAAUGAGGAAGGAAUAAGUAUAAGAGAAAUGUUUUAAAACAUUUUUCAUGUAACAACAAAAGUUUAUAUUUGCUUCAUUAAUAUAACUGUCCCUUAGAUUAUUCAUAUGAAAAUACGAUAAGAAUUUGAAAUAAGAAUUUGGGGUUAGAGCAAGUUGAAGGGCAAAUUCCUCGAAUUCUAACAGCUUCCUAGAAGUGAAAUGUUUACUUCAGUUGUUUGGAAAAAAAUGAGAAAGUCAUUUCAUUUUUUCACAUUAAAAAAAAAAUGCUGGUCUAUGGCCAGUACCCACUGACUUCUAAGCCAGCAGGCAGUGUCGUAAUGACAUAUGUAGCUGGUCAUUGGGGUAGGAAAACAGCAAGAAUGUGUGAACAAUUUUAUAAAUUCCUCAAGUGAUAUCCCGAGAGCGAUGAGACAGUAGCAUUAUUUUCACAGGUUUUAGGAAAAGCUUUUUAUUCUGUAAGUUCUGCCAUUCCUUUUAAAGAACACUAAAUUUCUUCUGAUAGAAAAUUAAGUUAUGACAUUUUUGGAUUAUUGUUUUAAUUUCUGUGGGCUCAACAUAAUUCAUAUUGAAACCGCAAAGGGAAUUUAAAAUAUCCAUUGUAUUUACAGAUAUUACUUGUGAAAUUACACUAUAAUCAGAAGGAAGCAGGAUGACUAAGUUCUAGAUGUCACAAAUGUCAAUAUCAUAAAAAAACAAUCCUGCUGUGGACACUCCACAUUUAAAGAUUUAUGAAUGCAAAUACUUAGUGUAUAUCUCUUCUUUGUCAGCAAAAUGAUGGUUCUAUUAUUUGAAGAUUAUCAAUAAUCCCUAUUGAAUAUCAUGUGAAAAAAUAAGAACCAAGAGUGAGAAGUUUAGAGAAAGAAAUGGAUGGCAGAGAAGGCAAAAAAGGUAUUUUAAAACAGUCCUCAGGAAAAAAAUGGAAAUGAA